rnacentral:lncRNA from 1 species
AGGGCCAAAAUUUCUUCCUAUUUGUUUAUUUUUGCUACAAUUUUAUUUGGUUUUUCUUUGCCUUUUUUUAUUGAUUGUGGCUUAUAGGUGGUGGUGAUGAGGGAAACGACGGUGGCGCGACGAUCACGGUGGUGGUGGCGGUCGCUCGGCUGAGUCCUUGUCGAAGUCGUUUUGAUUUUUUUGAAGUUUUUUUACUGUUUUUCUUUUUUUUUUGGUGUUGCCGAAUCCCCCUUUUCUUUCUCUUCAAGUUUUUCUUUUUAAUCCUUCAAUUUUGUCUUCUUCCUCUUUGUUUUCAGGUGGCACUGGAAGAGGGGGAGCACGCCCGACAGUCGAUUGGGGGUGUCAGGUGUGGAGAGCAGGGCACGCCUGAACGCUGAUUGGGGGUGGUCUAUCAUGGCCAGAAGGACCAAAUUGUAAAGGGUGUAAAAUUUCUGGGGCAAAAGCAUAAUUCUAGAAAAAUAUAGGGUUAAAAUGCAAUUUUUUGGAAAGUUUAGGGGCCCGAAUGUAAUUUACAAAUUAUUAGGGGUCAAGAUGUAAAUUUUGAAAAGUUUAAGGGCUAAAAUGUAAUUUAUAUUUUUUUGUAUUUUAUAUUUUUUUUCAAAAUUUUUAUUAUUACUAUUUUAUUAAUAUUUAAACAGAAAUUAAAAAUGGGCCAAAAUAAGUUCAAAAUUAAAUCCU